rnacentral:ncRNA from 2 species
GUCCGCAAUCAGCUGCAAGGUGUCCGCGAUGCAUGCCUAUGUGCCGCGGAUGAAACGGGAAUCAGGUGCGUUGCCGUCCCCACGGGCGGCGCAAAUCCUGGACUGCCCCCGCAACGGUAAGCGAGGGGGUGCACACCCGGCCACUGUGAAGUUGGGAAUGACCGGGAGCCUCGGCUCCCGAACCCUAAGUUCACGGGAAGGCGUGCACCCGGUGGUUCGACCCACCAACUCGCGAGUCCGGAGACCGGCCUUGGAGCCUCUCAUUCA